ACACUGCGGUGCAAGACGGGCUCGGGUUCGGUGCGCCCAAAUGUGUUGGCUUAUGAAGACUGGGUCGAUGAACCGCUGCUUAAAGUGUGCUUCUCUGAGCGCUCGACAGCUCAAAGCCAGAGAAACCCCAUAGAGCAGCGAAACAGUUCACCGACAGACGCAACCAAACCCGUUGGCUCCCGAUGAGGGUGGAGAGGGCAGAGCUGGCGAAACUGAUUGGUUUUCGAUUUUAACGAAGAGCCGCCUUAUUUCACUCAGAACCGAGUCAGCUUUUUCCCAGGAGAGGAAAGCAAGUUUGUGUGCGAGAACGCUGUCACCAGUGGUGGGGGACUGACUGGGUGGACACUGGUGCACGGAGGGGGUGGUGUUUGUUUGGUAGGUGGGGUAACAAUCUGCGCGAACCUGGCCCUUUAAAUUACCUCCACAAUCACUGUAGACGAGACAAGCAAAGUUGCCUCCAGGGCCCUGAGCCAGCUUUAGUCCCCAGCCUCUCCAUCAUCCAGGCAUAAAAAAAAAUGACACAGAUGUGCUGUGUCGAGGCUAGUCAUGCAGUGGGAGAUAUUGGCUAACCUGUGAUCACUGGCACCCAAGACUCAACUUUGACCCAAGUCUGAAACAAGUUGACCCUUCUCAUGGCUAGACGGGGGAUCCUGGCUGCUCCAAACCCCCCCCCCCCACUCCCCCCCGCUCCCGAGAUGCAAUCAGGGGAACAGGGUGCUGCAGUUGACACCUGGCUGUUUUGCCACCAACACACCAAAACAUUUUUCAGUCCUACAGCUAAACACUUGAAACAACAAACUCUAAUAUCUGCCUCUCUUAUAUGAAUUUACUAAUUAUACUGCUUUUCUUUUCAAUGCCCUUAAAGGCUCGGCAGAUAUUCAGAUAAUAGUCUUGGUGUGGACUAGGCUGUCUGCCGGUGUUGGUGAUAAAUACAGUUUUCCUCUCAUACUUAAGCAAGAACAGUUUAGCUGACUUCCUCCAUUUCACUGCAACAACAACAAAAACACUUCUCACAGUUACAUAUCAGAUUGGAAUUUGGAUCAUCCUAGCAGCCUUUCCACGUAGUCCUUUGCAUGUAAACAGACCUGGUAGCUCUAUUGUGGUACAGAAGUCAGUUACACUCUUUUCACUGAGGGUGGCUUAUUUGGGAAAGCAGGAGUGAGGUUUGACACCUGUGCAGCUGCCCUUCUCAGCAGGAGUCCAGUGGGGACCAGAUCAGAAAUCCUCUGCCAUGCAUGUGAACUGCCUGCUUUACACAGUUUCACAACAGAAGUGUGAAAUGCCCUGCCAUAUAUCUCUCUAAUGCCCUGCUGUUUUAGGCGGCGGCAGACACAGAGAGCGACUGCAGACUGACUCUAAACAUUCCGUCUCAUUCUCUCUCCCCCUUGGUCACCAUUUAUAAAACUGUGUGACAUUAGUGAAUUGUCACUUUAAUAAAGCUGCCUCCGCUCCUGCAAUAGUAAUUAUCAAGAUUUGUCUCCAUUACAAGUCAUGUGCAAUUGAUUCCAUGUGCUUCAGUUUGGAAACGUCUCUCUUGUACAAUGAUGACUUGUUCCACCUAAGGGGAGGCCUUUUAAUCAUUGUGUGAAUUAUACUCGACUACAUGACAGAAAAAUGAAUCAGUUAUCCUUCUAUGGGCUGUUUGUUGGUCUGUGUACAUAUGCAUGAGAUCGAUGGUUUACAAAAACAGCUUGGCUAACUGGAUAAAGAAUCUCUACAUAAAUGACCAUAAUUAUAUUAAUAAGCUUGUAUUGCUAUUUUUUUUUUGUGAUUUGUUUAACAGGAGCCAUAACAUUUAAAAAACACCAUUAAACAAAUGUCAUGUGAA
ensembl:lncRNA